AAUAUUAUUUCAAGUUUGACGAUGUUAUGAAGUGAAACAUUAAACCAGAGCAUAUGGAGUAUGAAGCUAUGUUUAAAUUUUUUAUAUUCUUACUUUGCUUUUGCGUUUGCCUGUAUUGUUCUAAAGACGAAGACCUUCCAAAGGAAAUGAGGGACAAAAGCAACGUUCAAGUACAUUUCAACGACAGAGAUGGAAAGUAUUGGGGGAAAACGCAAAUGAGACGACGGAGAAGAUUUGGUUAUCGAAUAUCACGUGAUAUGUUGUAAUUACGAAUCAUUUGUUAAUUUUUGUCACGCAUGGACUAACUGUAACUUUUUAUAGCUUUGUUCUAUUGUUUUACCUAAAAUACACACAAGAAAUUGGAAUAAAAAAAUUAUUUCCACAUUCGUAGAAAUGUGUGAUUUGGUAUGGGCUGCGGUCUGUCAUGGUGGUAACGAAAAGUUAAAAGGGGCGCGAAUAGUAUCAAAAUCAAAGCCACCACAAAUAGCGCGCUAUAUUAACCAAAAGUUUUUGUUUCUGUAUUGUUUUUGCGUACAGCAGCGUUUUGUUGUUGUUUUCUCAUUAUUGUGUAGCUUUAUAUAGUAUACCCAAAAUAAUGAAAUCAGUAGAUAUAUAUUCUGUUCGAAUUUCGAGAAAUCUCGCAUCAAAUGAGGGUGUUCAUUGUCUUGAAAUGAUUGUUUUCAUUUACUGUAUGUUGACAAUGUUAUAAUGUUCGAAAUUGACUCGAGUUGUGUGCUCUCCAGCCAUAUCUCAGUUAUCGAAAAACAGUCACAACUUUUAAUAUGAUUCAAUUUAUCAUCAUCUCUUUCUGUAAGUUUGUGCCUUAAUUUUUUAUACCAAAUUUUAUCAUUGUAUAU